UACGUAGGGGGCAAGCGUUGUCCGGAAUCAUUGGGCGUAAAGAGCGCGUAGGCGGCCCGAUAAGUCCGCUGUGAAAGUCAAGGGCUCAACCCUUGAAUGCCGGUGGAUACUGUCGGGCUAGAGUCCGGAAGAGGCGAGUGGAAUUCCUGGUGUAGCGGUGAAAUGCGCAGAUAUCAGGAGGAACACCGGUGGCGAAGGCGGGAUCUCUGGGCCUUACCUGACGCUGAGGCGCGAAAGCUAGGGGAGCGAACAGG
rnacentral:rRNA from 1 species